AUACAGAGGGUGCAAGCGUUAAUCGGAAUUACUGGGCGUAAAGCGCGCGUAGGCGGUUUAAUCAGUCGGAUGUGAAAGCCCCGGGCUCAACCUGGGAACUGCAUUCGAUACUGUUAAGCUAGAGUAUGGUAGAGGGAAGUGGAAUUCCAGGUGUAGCGGUGAAAUGCGUAGAUAUCUGGAGGAACAUCAGUGGCGAAGGCGACUCCCUGGACCAAUACUGACGCUGAGGUGCGAAAGCGUGGGGAGCAAACAGGAUUAGAUACCCCAGUAGUCC
rnacentral:rRNA from 1 species